rnacentral:rRNA from 1 species
UAGCAAGAAAAUUUUUUGAAUUAGAUUUCUCGAAACCUGAAGAGCUACCUUAAUUUUGGUUUAGCCUUAGACAAAGAGUGGGUGUGGCAUAACCCUAUUUAAAAUUUAAGGUAGAAAUUAAAUGUUAUUCGUUUUAGGUGAUAGCUAGUUAUAAUAUAAAGAUAUACAAGUAUCGGAUAUAAUUUUAUUAUAUGUUUAUACUAUAUACACAUAAUGACUUAUUUUCUUAGUUAUGCGAGGGUAAGCUCGUAUAAAUUUAAUUUAACUAAAAUUAUAUAUGAAUCUAGGCUUGAAAUUAGCCACGGUUUGGAAUUUGUUAAAAAUGCAUAUAUGUACACAAAAACUUUGUAAUAUAUUAAAUUUAUGUUAUCCAACUAUGUAAUCAAGGCAUGGUUGGUUUAUGCUAAAAUGAGUAUUAUUAUAAGCUAAAACAAAAAAUAAAUUAAAUUUUUUUUAAAAAUUUUUUAUAAAUAUCAUAAAAUAUAUAAUAGGAACUCGGCAAAAAUUUAGCUCCGCCUGUUUAGCAAAAACAUGUCUCUUUG